AACCAUUGACUUGAGCCAAUUUGGACAUUACAUGCCCUCUUUUUAAGUCUCUUAGAAUACCUGUGAGGAAUUGUUCCCACUUCAACAAACCUUUUGAGGUAAUUGUUUCCUACUUCUCUCACUUCCCCAAAUCUCUUGUUUUGAAUUGUUUGGUUUUUUUUUUCGUAUUUUACUUUAAUUGUUCAUCUCAUGUUAUGUUUAUGUUCUAUCUCAGUUCAUUCUAUAUUUUGUAUAGUUUAUUAGGUGAUUUAAUUUAGAAUAUAUAAUAUAUUUGUGUGAUAUUCCAAUUAAUUUCAUAUUUUGCAUAAUUUAUUUUGAUUUAAUUAAAAAAGAGUAUUUAUAUGUAAUGAUCCAAUUAUGUUCCGUAGGCUUUAUCCAGUUAGCGGUCAAGUUACUGUUUAUAAUUGUACUAAUACAAAGAAAAAUUGUUCUUAUAUAUCACUUAUCUAAAGUUUAAACGGGUUCACUCUAAGUAGAUUUGAUUAUGAGAUUUGUCUAAAAAGUAAUAGGGUUUGAGUAAAAGUAUUGAUUCGAAAAAUGAGUUUGGGUUAAAAAAGAGGCCUGUUUAGUCUCGGGUAAGCUUAUUUUGGCUUUGUAAAAAAAGAAAAGAAAAAGAACUUGUUGCUUUUUGUUGCUGAUUUCACUAUUUUUACUGUUAUUUUAUCACUGUUUUGGUGUUGUUUCACUAUUAUAUUACUGCUAUUUUAUUGUUAUUAUUUAGAUAUUGUAUAAAUCUUAUUUUAUUGUUACUUUUACGACUAUUUUAGAGACAUUUGCUUGUUAAGUUGCACGUAUCUUAAUGUUAUUUAAGUAUAAAGACUUUGUUUAAUUUAUUUUCAAUUUGUUGGGAAACAUUUAUUUUAAUGUUUUUAGUGUAUUUGAUGUAUUAUAUUUUUUAAAUAUGUUUUUAUAUAAAAAUGAUAAUAUAAAGAAAUUUUAAUACGGACGGGCUUAAAUAUGUUUUUAAAUAUGUACCAAUGUUUCCGAAUAUGUAUAAUAUUUAAGUAAUAUAUAAAACAUGUAAUUUCCUUUUAAACAACAAAUAUAUAUAUAUAAUUAUAAGUAUGCUAGCAAAUUCAAAAACAUUUAAAUGUAUGUAGUAAUUUAAUGUUAAUAAUAUUCAUGAAAUAAAACUAAUUUUAUUAUAAGGUAUAUAUAUACAUGUAUAACAAUGUAUAAAACAUUACAUAAAAUAGUAUACAACAUGUGGAAAUACAAUUACCCAAAUUACAACAAAUAAGUAAACCAUUAAUACAAAUGAUACAAUUAAUAUAAACAUUACAAAUAAUAUAAAUGAUAUGAUAAAAAUAAAUUAAAAAAAUAAUUAAUAAAGUACCUCAAAAUAUACGAGUAAAUAAGCCCGAAUUUAAAACUAUAAAAUGAAUCCAAACAAAUUACCUAAUUGAAAUCAAAGUAAAAUAAAAAAAGGGAUAAUUUACAACUAAAAUAAACUACUAAUAAUAAAAUAAGGAUCCAUGUAUAACACGCGUGAAUUCACAGGGACUAAGAUUGAAAUUAUCCCUGAUCCUGAAACAUUGCGUUGAGACAUGGGCUAAAAUGCAACGUCAUACCAACUUUAGGGAAGAUUUUUAAGAAAACAAAACAAAUCAGGCGCAAAUGGGAGCUAAUCAUAAUGCGGCGCGAAUGGGAAGGGCCUGCUGCACAAAUAAUCCAUUUUAGGCGCAAAAGCGCAGAUUCGGGUCUCCAAGCGGGUUGACGCACGGACCCCCUUCCUUAAACGGCGCCGUUUUUUAUUUUGAUGCUAAAUCCCUAUUUUCAUUUGUUUUCCUUUCAAAACGCAGAUGAAAGACAAAACCCUUGCUCUGUGAGGGCUUAUCUCAUCGCGCAGCCACUAACCUCCAUCAAUUUGAUGGCCAAUGGCGCGGAUAAUGGCCGGAUCAUGCCAACGGAGGCCACGACCUUGGAAAUCUGGUAACCUCGAUCCCUUUUUCUCUUUUUUUUUAAAAAAAAAAAGAAACGUGAAUCUUAUGCUAUUCUUUCAAAAAAUGAAAAUAAAUUUUGAAGAUUUAAACAAAACUUUAACACCGCUCGACCCUCGCCCACAUCUAUGCAUAUUUGAGAUGUUUGAGCUUUCAUCGGCGUCGAUUUGGGUUCCCCUUCAUGUGUUCGUGCUAAAUUUGCAAACCAAUCAAAGGAAAUAAAAAAAUAAACUUGGAAAUCACCUUUCAAACUUUUGGCUUGAUUUUUAAUAUCUGGUGUGCGUAAGAUGCGUAGGUACAUUCGAUGGCUUUUUAUAGCCGGAUUUACAAAGUAAAUAAAAAUAAAAUUACAUUUAAUCGCUGUAAAUUCUGUUAGCCUCUUUCUCGUGUAUUCCUUUGCUGUUUAUUUUUCCUUCUCGCAGGUUCCGUUGACGUGGAUGUACGGAGGUGCACCUGGGAUGUACGGAGACAGUCGUGCAUGAGAAUCCCUGUGGGAAGCCGACCCUCUGGUACUAUUCUAGUUUAUUCCAGAAGUUUCUGGCAUUCUCAGGCUAUUGAGAUGCUUUUUAGGUGUAUUGGGCCUCGAGUUUGGGCUAUUGGAAUUGGAUUUUAGGGUUUAUUCAAUUGGGUCAUAGGUUAUUUUAGUUUAAUGGACUUUUAUGGUAUUGUUUUUUAUUUUUCAUUUUAGGUUUGGGCUUUGUAAAUGGACUUUGGCCCUAUAAACAAAUUGGUCUGUUAUUUAUUUUUGUUUGGUUUUAUAAAUAUAUUUUGAUUUUUGAUUUUUUUUUUGUUUUUUAUGGGCACGGGCGAAAUGGGCUUAUUUCAGCUGCCCCUCUUUGCUCAUUGUCAUGUAAUGAGAAUAGAGCAAAGACUUUAAAAGGACCAAUUUUGCCCGGUUUUGCUAAAUCUUGACUUCUUUAGUGAAAUAGGACUGGUUUAAAUCUGCUCCAUUGCCUGUACAUAGAGCUAAGAUUUGCCCUCUUCGAUCUGCUGCAACUUCAGGGAAAUAAGAUCUUCAAUCUUCAGUCUGCUCCCUUGUUACCUCAGGAAGAUAAGACUCAUUCUUCAACCUGUUCUCUUGCUACCUUAGAAAGAUAAGGCUGGUGGUAAAAUCUGCUCCAUUGCCGAUACAUGGAGAUAAGAUUCACCAUUUUCGAUCUGCUCCACUGCAACUUCAGGGAGAUAAGAUCUUCAAUCUUCAAUCGGCUUUCUUGCUACCUCAGAAAGAUAAGACUCAUUCUUCA
rnacentral:lncRNA from 1 species